GUAGCUUCACCAAUUUCGAUUUUUAUUUGUUCAAAAUCGCUGAAUUUUCUUAUUUUCCCAUUCAAAUGCUUGGAAGCGAUGCCGGUGAGGCAGCAGCGAGCGCUGCCUCACCUUGGAUUGCGCAACCCCUGGCUCUGCGCUGGCUGCUAAGCGGAGAGAGCAUGUUGCUGUACGGCGUCAAUAAAAUGGUUUAAACAAAUUUAAUAUGUGAACUUAUUUCCAAUAAUUUAGCUUAUGUAUAUAAUGUACAGUGCUUUUUGUCACCAACUGUGUUUGUGUAACGUGUUUCGUGUAAUGAGCGAUUAUAAACGGCAGAGAACAGGUUCGAGGUGAGGCAGGCAGUUCUCUUGCCUCAUGGCAGGGGGCGCUCAAGAUCCCAGACGUUCGUCUUGUUCACUCCUCAACUGCCGAGUAAGUGACAGCGAGCUAGGCUAAACGAUUCGGGAAGCAAGUCAAGUGCAGCGAUAGAUUAUAAUAGAGAUAGUGAUUUUUUUCCUCUCGCUUAUCCCGACUUUCGACAUGGAUGACUACAUUACAACACUAAAAAGGUUUUCUCAAGUGGACUUUCAAUCGAAGCAGGUAAGACAGUAAUGUUAUUACUGUCUUACAGGGGUAAGACAGUAAUAACAUUUAUUUUGUUUUGUUUUUUAAGGAAAUGUGUGUUUUGUGAGCUACAGUUUGUAUGUAUAAGGAUGCAGAAGUGAAACAUAACCUGUAAACUGCUGUCAAUCUAUGCAUCUAUUUGCAAAUCUGAUUCUGAUGACGUCAGUGCCUCACCAGCUAUGAACCUCACCGCACGUCACUGGAUAGGAGGUCUUAUUGCUGCUGUC